UGUGUCCUUCAGGCGCAGAUAUCAACAGCUUCAGCACUCCCGUGUCCUCUGCGGAAGGACUGGGAUCUGUAGUCGAUGAACUUCAGAGAUAUGGGAAGCCUGUGGUGGCCGCUAUCGAAGGCGUGGCCCUCGGAGGGGGACUGGAGCUGGCGCUGGGCUGUCACUACAGGAUUGCGCACGCACAGGCUAAAGUGGGUUUCCCGGAAGUCACGAUAGGAAUUCUUCCUGGUGGAAGAGGGACCCAGAUUUCUCCCAGACUCAUUGGCCUUCCGGCUGCCCUUGACUUAAUCACCUCAGGAAGACAUGUUUUGGCAGGGGAAGCGCUCAAGUUGGGUAUUUUGGAUAAAGUAGUGAACUCAGACCUACUCGAAGAAGCAAUCAAAUUCACCCAGAAAAUU